CCGCUCGCCGGCUACUUGUUGCGCGCCGCGACUAACAGCGGGUCUCGCCCGCCGCGCUUCCCCUCGCUCUUACUGUUCGCCGUACACACUACGCGAGUGCCACUCCAGGUACCCGGCGACGACACCCGCUUCCUCCGACGUCACCAGCCGAGGCACAGGAGGCUGCCAUGACAGUUCACCAGUCACGCUUUGAGUGGGCAUCACUGGACUGCUGAGGAUUAUGUGAGUUGCUGUUGGCUGCGCUGUUUCCUCCAGCUGGCGGCCGUUCCAGUUCUCGCCAUUUUGGCCUGUGGCAUACACGCUGUGAAACUGCGGGUCUCAACGUAACAG